UGAACCUAUCUAUAUAUUUGCCCACCGUAACAUUUUCUCAAAGAGGCUGAUUUCUAUUGAUCUAUCGAUAUGGAUUCUUCUCAGUUAACAAAGGCUCAGAAGCGCAACAGAUUGCCAGACACAGACAAUGAUAUUAUGCAGCAACCGCCCUUGAAACGUCAGAAAUUUAAUUAUUCAUUCGAAGUUGAGAUAAAACCAGAGGAAUCACCGAAUUCACCAAGAGGACUAAAAAGAAAAGUGGAAAGGAAUCCUAAGAAGUAGAGGUGAACUUAGAAUAUAAUUUUUUGGCAUCAAAAUUUAUCCAUUAAGAUUUGGCAGCUAAAUUUGUUUUUUUCGGCUAAAAAAGAUAAGAAUAUCCCUGUCAGCUUAUUUCAUUUUAUUGGUUUUUCCUUCUUCAAGACAGAGGAAUAUUGAAGUAAUUACAUGCACACGCGAAGGCAACUCAAUUACGGAAGCGUUUUGCGCCAUGUGGCGCCGCCAAGAAUUUCAUUUGGCUGGCAAGUCACGUGAUGUGCAACGGCCGCUUGUGGGUUACGUUACGUUACGGUUAGGGGCAGGAGAUCGAGGAGGGGGUCAGGGGUCAAACGCUGACCCGACACAAUGAUAAACUGCGUGCCGCAAUAUGAGGCAGCAGCCCGGCCGCAGAACUUUUGGCCAAGUAAGCGCGUAGGAGAACCGAGAGCCGAGAGUCGAGAGUCGAGAGCCUGCCGCUAAUUUAUGGAAGAUGGAAGAUGGAUCCUGGCCCCUGGCCAGCGACGAGUCCUUUGCUUGGAGUCCAUCCACUCUCUUCGCUCGCCAGUGUGUUUAACAUGCGCCGACUGCCGCCUAGUUUCUAGUUUCCUCCCCCCUUUUCUUGCUUUUCUUUUUCAUUUCCCUCCAUUUUUGUUUUUUUUUUUUUUCGGUUGCGACAUGGUCAACUGGCACAUGGCAUUCCCAGCGGCACGCUCCAGGGGCAUCAAUAUUCCCAACGCUGGACGCGCAUGGCCACCUCUCCACUGGAGGAGAGGGAUGGCAGUCGGAGGACCACCAGAGCUACCAGCUCCCAAGACACACAGAUGCACUGCGGCAGAAAACCCAAAAUGUAAUGGCAUUUCACCCUAAAAUACUUCAUAUGUUCGGUAUCAUUUAAAUCAUUCAACGCUUAUUAUCAUUUUUAAUCUAUUUUAAUAAAAGAAAGAAGAAAAUUC